rnacentral:tRNA from 1 species
GUACGUACGUAGUACGGUACGUACGUACGUACGUCGUACGUACGUACGUACGUACGUACGUACGUACGUCGUACGUCGUACGUACGUACG